GGUUGAUAGAUCAAAGCGGCAGUGGGGUUGUAAUCCUGUGUCUCGAUAUAUCUAGGACCCGUAGUUGGCCGCCUAACAUCCACAGCGCUGCGGGGUACCGUAGAGUCAGAUGGUGCAGGAUGACUUGUUCCUUGGUAAAACGAGAUUUAGAAACUUAUAGGACUGGUAUGAGAAGAAAUUGGAGCUCACAGAGGAAACCAAUGCAAACAAGGGGAGAAAAUCCACACGCCACACAGAUAAGGCUGCAGAUGGAACUAAUUCCAUGACCAUAGUGCUGAGAUGCUAACUAUUGUACCAUCUUGCUCCUCAUAUCUCUAUGCAGGUAUUAACCUAUCUUUGUGCAU